rfam:Sordaria macrospora k-hell, WGS project CABT02000000 data, contig: 2.7
ACAUACGACCAUAGGCACCAGGGCAAAACUCGGGAUCCCGUCCGCUCUCCCCCAGAUAAGCCGGUGGCCGCCAGACUAGUAGUCGGAUCGGUGACGACCGGCGAAUAAUCUGGUGUUGUAUUUU